rnacentral:rRNA from 1 species
GACGAACCGUGCGAACGUUGUUCGGAAUCACUGGGCAUAAAGGGCGCGUAGGCGGCUUUUCAAGUCAGGGGUGAAAUCCGGCAGCUCAACUGUCGAAGUGCCCUUGAUACUGAUGAGCUCGAGGGAGGUAGGGGUGUGUGGAACUUCCGGUGGAGCGGUGAAAUGCGUUGAUAUCGGAAGGAACUCCGGCGGCGAAAGCGAUGCACUGGCUGAUUUCUGACGCUGAGGUGCGAAAGCCAGGGGAGCAAACGGG